rnacentral:rRNA from 1 species
CCUACGGGAGGCAGCAGUAAGGAAUAUUGGUCAAUGGGCGCAAGCCUGAACCAGCCAUGCCGCGUGCAGGAAGACGGCCCUAUGGGUUGUAAACUGCUUUUGAACAAGAGAAAACCUCGGUACGUGUACCGAGCUGAUAGUAUUGUUAGAAUAAGCAUCGGCUAACUUCGUGCCAGCAGCCGCGGUAAGACGAAGGAUGCAAGCGUUAUCCGGAUUCAUUGGGUUUAAAGGGUGCGUAGGCGGCCUGAUAAGUCAGUGGUGAAAUCUCUCAGCUUAACUGAGAAACUGCCAUUGAUACUGUCGGGCUUGAGUACAGAUGAUGUGGGCGGAAUAUGACAUGUAGUGGUGAAAUACUUAGAUAUGUCAUAGAACACCGAUUGCGAAGGCAGCUCACAAAACUGUAACUGACGCUGAGGCACGAAAGUGCGGGGAUCAAACAGGAUUAGAUACCCUGGUAGUCCGCACCGUAAACGAUGAUUACUCGUUGUUGGCAAUAUGACCGUCAGCGACCAAGCGAAAGCGAUAAGUAAUCCACCCUGGGGAGUACGCCGGCAACGGUGAAACUCAAAUGAAUUGACGGG